GACGAAGGGGCUAGCGUUGUUCGGAAUUACUGGGCGUAAAGCGCGUGUAGGCGGUUGUUCAAGUCAGGUGUGAAAGCCUUGAGCUCAACUCAAGAAAUGCACUUGAUACUGGAUGACUAGAGGACCGGAGAGGAUAGUGGAAUUCCCAGUGUAGUGGUGAAAUACGUAGAGAUUGGGAAGAACACCAGUGGCGAAGGCGGCUAUCUGGACGGUUUCUGACGCUAAGACGCGAAAGCGUGGGGAGCAAACA
rnacentral:rRNA from 1 species